rnacentral:rRNA from 1 species
GGUAUGGGAUGAGCUUGCGUCCGAUUAGCUAGUUGGCGGGGCAACGGCCCACCAAGGCGACGAUCGGUAGCCGGCCUGAGAGGGUGAUCGGCCACAUUGGGACUGAGAUACGGCCCAGACUCCUACGGGAGGCGGCAGUAGGGAAUAUUGCACAAUGGGGGGAACCCUGAUGCAGCAACGCCACGUGUGGGAAGAAGCAUUUCGGUGUGUAAACCACUGUCGUGAGGGAAUAAUGUUGGCUUUCGGGCCAAUUGAAUGUACCUUGAAAGGAAGCACCGGCAAACUUCGUGCCAGCAGCCGCGGUAAUACGAGGGGUGCAAGCGUUGUUCGGAAUCACUGGGCGUAAAGGGAGCGUAGGCGGAAAGUCAAGCGGAUUGUACAAUCCCGGGGCCCAACCCCGGACCUGCAGUUCGAACUGGCUUUCUUGGAUAGUUCAGGGGCAGGC